AUGUUAGUUUUUGUUUUGAUUCAGGUGGGAUUUGAGAUGGUUGAUGCUAUAGCGGAAGCUGAAGGGAUAUCCAUGGGUUUUAUAGGCGAUGUACCAUUGUUACUUGCAAAACCACAAACUUUUAUGAAUGCAAGUGGUGAAUCUGUAAGUCUUAUGUCUAGAGAAAUGGAAAUUGAUAUAACCAAUGAAAGGAGAUGA